rnacentral:tRNA from 5 species
GGGAGCUUAGUUAAGUGGUAUAACAGCGGUCUCCAGAACCGCGGUCGGGGGUUCAAUUCCUCCAGCUCCCGCAA